AGAAAGUUAGUCUAGCCAAGACAGUUGAUUUCGGCUCAACAGACCACAGCUAACCCUGUGACUUUCUC
rnacentral:tRNA from 1 species